AACGGUUAAGCCGGCUUCGGCCGGGAAUACAGUGGCGAACGGGUGAGUAACACGUGACCAACCUGCCCCCCGCUCCGGGACAACCGCUGGAAACGGCGGCUAAUACCGGGUACUCCGCGGGCCCCGCAUGGGGCCGGCGGGAAAGCCCAGGCGGCGGGGGAUGGGGUCGCGGCCCAUUAGGUAGUAGGCGGGGUAGAGGCCCACCUAGCCGACGAUGGGUAGCCGGACUGAGAGGUCGACCGGCCACAUUGGGACUGAGAUACGGCCCAGACUCCUACGGGAGGCAGCAGUGGGGAAUUUUGCGCAAUGGGGGAAACCCUGACGCAGCAACGCCGCGUGCGGGACGAAGGCCCUCGGGCUGUAAACCGCUUUCAGCAGGGAAGACAUCGACGGUACCUGCAGAAGAAGCUCCGGCUAACUACGUGCCAGCAGCCGCGGUAAUACGUAGGGGGCGAGCGUUAUCCGGAUUCAUUGGGCGUAAAGCGCGCGUAGGCGGCCGCCUAAGCGGAACCUCUAACCCCGGGGCUCAACCUCGGGCCG
rnacentral:rRNA from 1 species